CAGCCGCCGCGGGAAUACGUAGGUGGCAAGCGUUGUCCGGAAUUAUUGGGCGUAAAGCGCGCGCAGGCGGUUUCUUAAGUCUGAUGUGAAAGCCCCCGGCUUAACCGGGGAGGGUCAUUGGAAACUGGGAGACUUAGAGUGCAGAAGAGGAGAGUGGAAUUCCAUGUGUAGCGGUGAAAUGCGUAGAUAUAUGGAGGAACACCAGUGGCGAAGGCGACUCUCUGGUCUGUAACUGACGCUGAGGCGCGAAAGCGUGGGGAGCAAACAGGAUUAGAUACCCCGGUAGUCCCUGUCUCUUAUU
rnacentral:rRNA from 1 species